GCUUGGCAUAAUCUCAGCUGGCAACUGUGAGUUUGUGAUAAAGUCUCGCAGGUGCUGCUGGGAUUGCGCCGAGC
rfam:Astyanax mexicanus Tnplaced_Scaffold_205, whole genome shotgun sequence.